ensembl:lncRNA novel transcript
ACCAGAAGCGGAGACUAAGCCAGCAUCACUCGAUGGACACAAACCAAACUCCAGGAGCAGGAGGCCUCCAGUGGUAUGCUGAGUUGAUCACGACCCUCAUACUUUCAGCCUUCAACACCCCAACACUCCUUAUCUAGGAGCCAGGGUGAAGAGCACAGCCCCACCGUUCAUGGAUCCAUGUCCAAAAGGGAAAAAACAGCCAGCUGUUCAAAGAAGCCCAGUUCUCCUGAGGUUGAGAUCACACAAAGUUCACCCAAAAUUCCGGAAUGUCUGGCCUUGGACAAAUCAUUUUAACUCUGGAGGCUCAAUUUCCUCAUCAAUCAAAAGAAAAUGAUACAUUUACAGAAUGACUACAAGGGUCCCAGCUACUCAGGAGGCUGAGGCAGGAGAAUGGCGUGAACCCGGGAGGCGAGGCUUGCAGCGAGCCGAGAUCGCACCACUGCACUCCAGCCUGGGCAACAGAGCAAGACUCCAUCUUAAAAAAAAAAAAAAAGAAUGACUACAAGGAAGAGCAAAAUUACAAAUAUCAAUGCAUUAUAAAGCCAUAAUAAUUAAAAUAGUGUGGUAUCAAUUAACUCAGGAAUAUACAGCUAGAUCAAUAGAAUUGAAUAGAAUGACCCAUGCAUAUAUUGAAAUAAAGUGUAUUAAAAUGUUGGCAUUUUCAACCAUCAGAGAAAGGAUAAAUGAUGCAAUAAACAGCUCACUACAUG